CCCCUCCCCCGAAAAGACGGAAAUUUCCUUAAAACGGACAACUGCAACAACAGUUCUGCAUGACCCAAAUUCCGUACAUUUUAAUCUCCCCUUAACGGAAACUCUUUUAUAACGGCAAAAUCAGUUGAUACCGUGUGAUUCCGUUAUAAUAAGGAGACUUCACUGUAUUUCGACAACUGCUUGAUAAAUAAAAAAUGACCAUCUUGAUAUGUCAACGAGUUUUUUUAUAACGCUACAAAAAGCUCGACUUUGGUUUUUCGAUCCGAGUAAGAUAUCCGGUAGAAAAGUCGUUCACAAUACAAAUCAUAAGCUAGCAGAAAUGUAAGCUCGCUGAAAUCUAAAAUUGAUGUAGUAUAGAAUUAAGUUUAGUUUAAUUUUACAAGAACAUAUAUCUAGAUUAGCAUAAUAGUUACCAACCGAUGAUAACAUAUUAGCCGGCGAACUAAUUGAAUAAUUUGAUA